rnacentral:tRNA from 2 species
GGGUCAUUAGCUCAGCUGGCAGAGCAGUGGACUUUUAAUCCAUUGGUCACAGGUUCGAAUCCUGUAUGACCCACCA